rnacentral:rRNA from 1 species
AGUGGCAGACGGGUGAGUAACAUGUGGGUAUCUACCCUUUGGCCUGGAAUAACACGAGGAACCUUGUGCUAAUACCGGAUAAGUCUUUACGGAGAAAGCUUUAUGCACCAUUGGAUGAGCCCGCACUUGAUUAGUUUGUUGGUAGGGUAAUGGCCUACCAAGACUAUGAUCAAUAGCUGAUUUGAGAGGAUGAUCAGCCACAUUGGGACUGAGACACGGCCCAAACUCCUACGGGAGGCAGCAGUGGGGAAUCUUGCACAAUGGAGGAAACUCUGAUGCAGCGAUGCCGCGUGAGUGAAGAAGGCCUUUGGGUUGUAAAGCUCUUUCGUCGGGGAAGAAAAUGACUGUACCCGAAUAAGAAGGUCCGGCUAACUUCGUGCCAGCAGCCGCGGUAAUACGAAGGGACCUAGCGUAGUUCGGAAUUACUGGGCUUAAAGAGUUCGUAGGUGGUUGAAAAAGUUGGUGGUGAAAUCCCAGAGCUUAACUCUGGAACUGCCAUCAAAACUUUUCAGCUAGAGUAUGAUAGAGGAAAGCAGAAUUUCUAGUGUAGAGGUGAAAUUCGUAGAUAUUAGAAAGAAUACCAAUUGCGAAGGCAGCUUUCUGGAUCAUUACUGACACUGAGGAACGAAAGCAUGGGUAGCGAAGAGGAUUAGAUACCCUCGUAGUCCAUGCCGA